AGUUCGAUCCUAGCUCCAGAUUGAACGCUGGCAGGAUGCUUUACACAUGCAAGUCGAACGGCAGCACGGACUUCGGUCUGGUGGCGAGUGGCGAACGGGUGGUAAUGUAUCGGAACGUGCCUAGUAGCGGGGGAUAACUACGCGAAAGCGUAGCUAAUGCACCUUACGCCCUUCGAGGAAAGCGGGGACCUUCGGGCCUCGCACUAUUGGAAGCGGCCGAUAUUAUCCGGAUUAGCUAGUUGGUGGGGUAACGGCUCACCAAGGCGACGAUCCGUAGCUGGUUUGGGAGGACGACCAGCCACACUGGGACUGAGACACGGCCCGGACUCUGAGAGGCAACAGUGAAAUUUUUGGACAAUGGAAACCUGAUCCAGCCAUCCGCGUGUGCGAUGAAGGCCACCUUCGGGUUGUAAAGCACUUUUGGCAGGAAAACAGCACGGGAUAUUACCCCGUGCAACUGACACCUGCAGAAUAAGCACCGGCUAACUACGUGCCAGCAAUGCAUGAUAGCCACGAGUGCAAGCGUUAAUCCGAUUACUGGGCGUAAAGCGUGCGCAGGCGGUUCGGAAAGAAAGAUGUGAAAUCCAGAGCUUAACUUUGGAACUGCAUUUUUAACUACCGAGCUAGAGUGUCAGGAGGAAGGCGAAUUCCGCGUGUAGCAGUGAAAUGCGUGGAUAUGGAGGAACACCGAUGGCGAAGGCAGCCUCCUGGGAUAACACGCUCAUGCGAAAGCGUGGGAGCAAACGGGAUUAGAUACCCUGGUAGUCCACGCCCUAAACGAUGUCAACUAGCUGUUGGGGCCUUCGGGCCUUGGUAGCGCAGCUAACGCGUGAAGUUGACCGCCUGGGAAGCUACGGUCGCAAGAUUAAAACUCAAAGGAAUUGACGGGGACCCGCACAAGCAGUGGAUGAUGUGGAUUAAUUCGAUGCAACGCGAAAAAGCCUUACCUACCCUUGACAUGUCUGGGAUCCCGAAGAGAUUUGGGAGUGCUCGCAAGAGAACCGGAGCACAGGUGCUACGCCGGCUGUCGUCAGCUCGUGUCGUGAGAUGUUGGGUUAAGUCCCGCAACGAGCGCAACCCUUGUCGUGGGUUGCUACGAAAGGCACUCUAAUGAGACUGCCGGUGACAAGCCGGAGGAAGGUGGGGAUGACGUCAAGUCCUCAUGGCCCAUAUGGUGAACACCACACGUCAUACAAUGGUCGGGACAGAGGGUCGCCAACCCGCGAGGGGAGCCAAUCCCAGAAACCCGAUCGUAGUCCGGAUCGCAGUCUGCAACUCGACUGCGUGAAGUCGGAGAUCGCUAGUAAUCAUGGUCAGCAUGUCGCGGUGAAUACGUUCCCGGAGUCUUGUACACACCGCCCGUCACACCAUGGGAGUGGGUUUUACCGGAAGUAGUUAGCCUAACCGUAAGGAGGCGAUUACCACGGUAGGAUUCAUGACUGGGGUGAAGUCGUAACAGAUAA
rnacentral:rRNA from 1 species